rnacentral:rRNA from 1 species
UACGUAGGGGCCGAGCGUUGUCCGGAGUUACUGGGCGUAAAGCGCGCGCAGGCGGCUCGUCAAGCCUGACGUGAAAGCCCCCGGCUCAACCGGGGAGGGUCGUCGGGGACUGGCGAGCUUGAGGUCGGCAGGGGUUGGUGGAAUUCCCGGUGUAGUGGUGAAAUGCGUAGAGAUCGGGAGGAACACCCGUGGCGAAGGCGGCCAACUGGGCCGGACCUGACGCUGAGGCGCGAAAGCCAGGGGAGCAAACGGG